GCUGUCGGGCUUGAAGCACGUUAUUAGGGUUUCUGUAUAACCCUUUUUGAAUUUUGGUGUUACUCAGCGAUCGUAUUACGCUACGGUAUGUGAGAAAAACUGUGCUUUUUGAAUUCUAUUAACGCAUUUUUAUUAAAAUGACAUGACUUAUAACUCCUACCGGUUGUUGUUGAGUUAGUGACAUUAAAUACUGUGUUAUAGUUUGUAGUGUAUUUAGAAUAUAUUAUACUGUGAUCAAAAACUUGUGAUCUGUGAAAAAAUACUGUGAGGUUUUCGAAUAUCAUCGGAUGUUAUUAGAUAUUAAAGGAAGAUAUAAUGGAGGAAUAUGGGAUUGUUAUGUAGUUGUGUACACUUCAAUUGAAACAAAAGUAAAAUGGACUUGAGUGAUGAGUGUUGUGAUGUACCCGUGAGGUAAAGGCGAUGUUGUGGCCGUGGACCGCGUGGGCCUGGCUGGUGCUCGCGAUAGGCCUGUCAAAGGCCUACACCGACACCGAGGACUUCCUCAGUGAUUU